CCUGGAAACGAAUGACGAAGAUGUGGACAAAUUUCGCGAAGAGUGGGAAUCCAACAGCAACUGCAAACGAUCUUCUGCCUGUUAAAUGGCCUGAGUAUGACCUCCACGAAGAAAAGUAUUUGGAAAUAAACAGCUAUCUCGAAGUUAGAACUGCUUACGAACCAGAGAAAAUGGCUAUUUUUGACGUGAUUUAUGAAAAAUAUCACACAUAAUGCAACGCCAGUUGGGACGUGAAAACUGUUGUUGCAUUAUUUAAAUUAAUUUACACUUACUGCACCAAAUUCCUUUGACUACAAAGAUUUUCCACCAUCAUAAUAAAUGCUUUUAUCAUUA